rnacentral:pre_miRNA from 1 species
UUCUGAGCGGGUGCAGAGCUUGGCUGAUUGGUGAACGUGCAUGGCUUGUGUUUUUGUUCACAGUGGCUAAGUUCUUCACCCGAAAAGAA